UCCAUCAGCGCGCUGUUGAGCCUUCAUCCCCUCUGUUGUGUUUAGGUGACAGAAACCAAAGAAUGACCCUGAGUUUCAAUGAUCACGUUCUGUCCUGGGACCUUUUGUAAUCCAGGCUUUUCCUUCCAGCUGGAAAAUCAUCAUGGUGUUCCCCAUCUUCGCCAACCAGUGGCUGGGAUAGCAGUCCUGUGAUCCCGAAGGGGUUUCAGCUGUUUCGGACAAGCAACAUCCACCAAGUGCCUGCCUGGGUCCAACUCUCGUCAAGAUCCCUCAAGCCACCACAACAUCAAGACCUCCAGCCACGCCACGACCUCCAGCCUUGCUCCGUCAGUGAUCCGCAAGGUCCCCACUCAACUCGCCAUGAAAAUCUCAAGACAAAGACACCAGAAUUUUAAUAAAAUAUAUGAUAAUAAAAAGAUACAGAUUUUCUUUCUGAAAUUCAUCAUUGAAGAAUCCAAAAGGUAUUUUGUGUUAAAUUAAUUUAAAAAAAAGGCCAGAUCUGCACAUUCAAAUAGAAGUCAUUCUUUUGUUCAAACAACAAUGAAGUAAAGCUUCAGCAUUAAGAAACUCAGAAAGU